rnacentral:rRNA from 1 species
UACAGAGGCCCCAAGCAUUACCCGGAAUCACUGGGCGUAAAGGGUGUCGAGGCGGCCCUAUUAGUCUCCCGUAAAAUCCGUGGGCUCAACCUACGGCGCGCGGGGGAAACGGUAGGGCUCGAGGGCGCGAGAGGUGCACGGAACUCAUGGUGGAGGGGUGAAAUCCGUUGAUAUCAUGGGGAACACCGAAGGCGAAGGCAGUGCACUGGUGCGUUCCUGACGCUCACACACGAAAGCCAGGGGAGCGAACGGG